rnacentral:rRNA from 1 species
AAACUUCACACGAUCUCUGGUUCUGCAUCGAUGAAGACGCAGCGAUGCGAUAAGUAG